CGUCAGGAUGAACGCUAGCUACAGGCUUAACACAUGCAAGUCAGGGGCAGCAUGUGGUUGCUUGCAACCAAUGAUGGCGACCGGCGCACGGGUGAGUAACGCGUAUCCAACCUUCCCCUUAGUAGGGCAUAGCCCGGCGAAAGUCGGAUUAAUACCCUAUGUUCUUCGUAGAUGACAUCUGAAAUGAAGCAAAGAUUUAUCGCUAAGGGAUGGGGAUGCGUCUGAUUAGGCAGUCGGCGGGGUAACGGCCCACCGAGCCGACGAUCAGUAGGGUUCUGAGAGGAAGGUCCCCCACAUUGGAACUGAGACACGGUCCAAACUCCUACGGGAGGCAGCAGUGAGGAAUAUUGGUCAAUGGGCGCGAGCCUGAACCAGCCAAGUAGCGUGCAGGAAGACGGCCCUAUGGGUUGUAAACUGCUUUUAUGCGGGGAUAAAGUCGCCCACGUGUGGGUGUUUGUAGGUACCGCAUGAAUAAGGACCGGCUAAUUCCGUGCCAGCCGCUGC
rnacentral:rRNA from 1 species